GAUGAACGCUGGCGGCGUGCCUAAUACAUGCAAGUCGAGCGAACGGACGAGAAGCUUGCUUCUCUGAUGUUAGCGGCGGACGGGUGAGUAACACGUGGAUAACCUACCUAUAAGACUGGGAUAACUUCGGGAAACCGGAGCUAAUACCGGAUGAUAUUUUGAACCGCAUGGUUCAAAAGUGAAAGACGGUCUUGCUGUCACUUAUAGAUGGAUCCGCGCUGCAUUAGCUAGUUGGUAAGGUAACGGCUUACCAAGGCAACGAUGCAUAGCCGACCUGAGAGGGUGAUCGGCUACACUGGAACUGAGACACGGUCCAGACUCCUACGGGAGGCAGCAGUAGGGAAUCUUCCGCAAUGGGCGAAAGCCUGACGGAGCAACGCCGCGUGAGUGAUGAAGGUCUUCGGAUCGUAAAACUCUGUUAUUAGGGAAGAACAUAUGUGUAAGUAACUGUGCACAUCUGACGGUACCUAAUCAGAAAGCCACGGCUAACUACGUG
rnacentral:rRNA from 1 species